CCUCCAAUCCUUCCAUCGGUUUCUGCCUCAACUAAGCUGAAAGGUCUUCAUUGUACUCACCCAGUUCACGGACUUGAGCUUCCAAUUUCAGGAUCUGGGCAUCUCUCAAUUCCAACUGGCACUGAAAGUAACUCCUCUCUUUUGGAACUUCGGGAAUUGGCAACGUCGAUACUUGUGCUUGACCAAUAUUGACUAAAUCCUUUGCCAAUCUUGACACCUCGGUGUUCAAGGCCUCAAUUUUAGCCCUUAACCGCUCCGUUUCACAUCUGUAUUGGUCACUCAAUACCAAUUUCUCUUGCACCAAUAACUCGGUCUUUUUUCGUUCCAUUACCAAUUGACCCUUCGCUUUUUCCAAUUCCAAAAUUA
rnacentral:lncRNA from 1 species